rnacentral:tRNA from 11 species
GCGGACGUAGCUCAGUUGGUAGAGCGCAACCUUGCCAAGGUUGAGGUCGCGAGUUCGAACCUCGUCGUCCGCUCCA